rnacentral:rRNA from 1 species
CCUACGGGAGGCUGCAGUGGUGAAUAUUGGACAAUGGGGGCAACCCUGAUCCAGCCAUGCCGCGUGUGUGAAGAAGGCCCUCGGGUUGUAAAGCACUUUCAGUGAGGAAGAACGCCUGGUGGUUAAUACCCAUCAGGAAAGACAUCACUCACAGAAGAAGCACCGGCUAACUCCGUGCCAGCAGCCGCGGUAAUACGGAGGGUGCGAGCGUUAAUCGGAAUUACUGGGCGUAAAGCGCGCGUAGGUGGCUUGAUAAGCCGGUUGUGAAAGCCCCGGGCUCAACCUGGGAACGGCAUCCGGAACUGUCAAGCUAGAGUGCAGGAGAGGAAGGUAGAAUUCCCGGUGUAGCGGUGAAAUGCGUAGAGAUCGGGAGGAAUACCAGUGGCGAAGGCGGCCUUCUGGACUGACACUGACACUGAGGUGCGAAAGCGUGGGUAGCAAACAGGAUUAGAUACCCCAGUAGUC